rnacentral:rRNA from 1 species
UACAGAGGGGGCGAGCGUUGUUCGGAAUUACUGGGCGUAAAGGGCUCGUAGGCGGCCAACUAAGUCGGAUGUGAAAUCCCCAGGCUCAACUUGGGAACUGCAUCCGAUACUGGAUGGCUUGAAUUCGGGAGAGGGAUGCAGAAUUCCCGGUGUAGUGGUGAAAUGCGUAGAUAUCGGGAGGAACACCAGUGGCGAAGGCGACUUCCUGGCCUGUUCUUGACGCUGAGGCGCGAAAGCUAGGGGAGCAAACGGG